rnacentral:tRNA from 1 species
GCCAUCGUGGUGUAGUGGUCAGCACGCUCGGCGCGUGUUCGAAAGGUCCGUGGUUCGAGUCCCGGCGAGGGCA